GGGCCUGUAGCAUAGUGGUAGUGCAGUCGGUUUGCAUCCGACAGGCGCGAGUCCGAUUCUCGCCAGGUCCACCA
rnacentral:tRNA from 6 species